rnacentral:tRNA from 1 species
GGGGGAUUAGCUCAAAUGGUAGAGCGCUCGCUUAGCAUGUGAGAGGUAGCAGAAUCAAUGCCUGCAUCCUCCA